rnacentral:rRNA from 1 species
UACAGAGGUCUCAAGCGUUGUUCGGAUUCAUUGGGCGUAAAGGGUGUGUAGGUGGCGCGCUAAGUCGGGUGUGAAAUUUCGGAGCUUAACUCCGAAACUGCAGUCGAUACUGGCGUGCUUGAGGACUGGAGAGGAGACUGGAAUUCAUGGUGUAGCAGUGAAAUGCGUAGAGAUCAUGAGGAAGACCAGUGGCGAAGGCGGGUCUCUGGACAGUUCCUGACACUGAGACACGAAGGCCAGGGGAGCAAACGGG